AGAGUUUGAUCCUGGCUCAGGAUGAACGCUAGCGGCAGGCUUAACACAUGCAAGUCGAGGGGCAUCGGGAGGGAAGCUUGCUUUCCUUGCCGGCGACCGGCGCACGGGUGAGUAACACGUAUGCAACCUGCCCUCUUCAGGGGGACAACCUUCCGAAAGGGAGGCUAAUCCCGCGUAUAUCGGUUUCGGGCAUCCGAGAUCGAGGAAAGAUUCAUCGGAAGAGGAUGGGCAUGCGGCGCAUUAGCUUGACGGCGGGGUAACGGCCCACCGUGGCGACGAUGCGUAGGGGUUCUGAGAGGAAGGUCCCCCACACUGGUACUGAGACACGGACCAGACUCCUACGGGAGGCAGCAGUGAGGAAUAUUGGUCAAUGGGAGAGAUCCUGAACCAGCCAAGCCGCGUGAGGGAAGACGGCCCUAUGGGUUGUAAACCUCUUUUGUCGGAGAACAAAACCCGGGACGUGUCCCGGACUGCGUGUAUCCGAAGAAAAAGCAUCAGCUAACUCCGUG
rnacentral:rRNA from 1 species